rnacentral:rRNA from 1 species
ACUCAAAUGAAUUGACGGGGGCCCGCACAAGCGGUGGAGCAUGUUGUUUAAUACGUCACUAACCGUAGAACCUUACCAGGGCUUGACAUCGCUGGACCGCCGGUGAAAGCCGGUUUUCCCCGCAAGGGGACCAGAUGACAGGUGUUGCAUGGCUGUCGUCAGCUCGUGUCGUGAGAUGUUGGGUUAAGUCCCGCAACGAGCGCAACCCUCACCCCAUGUUGCCAUCGGGUCAUGCCGGGAACUCUUGGGGAACUGCCUGGGUAACCGGGAGGAAGGUGGGGACGACGUCAAGUCAGCAUGGCCCUUACGCCCUGGGCUACAAACAUGCUACAAUGGACGGUAGACAAAGGGAUCCGAGACCGCGAGGUGGAGGCAAUCUCAAAAAUCCGUUCUCAGUUCGGAUCGCAGGCUGCAACUCGCCUGCGUGAAGUCGGAAUCGCUAGUAACCGCAGAUCAGCUAAGCUGCAGUGAAUACGUUCCCGGGCCUUGUACACACCGCCCGU